AUACGUAGGGUGCGAGCGUUAAUCGGAAUUACUGGGCGUAAAGCGUGCGCAGGCGGUUAUGUAAGACAGAGGUGAAAUCCCCGGGCUCAACCUGGGAACGGCCUUUGUGACUGCAUGGCUAGAGUGCGGCAGAGGGGGAUGGAAUUCCGCGUGUAGCAGUGAAAUGCGUAGAUAUGCGGAGGAACACCGAUGGCGAAGGCAAUCCCCUGGGCCUGCACUGACGCUCAUGCACGAAAGCGUGGGGAGCAAACAGGAUUAGAUACCCUGGUAGUCCACGCCCUAAACGAUGUCAACUGGUUGUUGGGAAUUAACUUUCUCAGUAACGAAGCUAACGCGUGAAGUUGACCGCCUGGGGAGUACGGCCGCAAGGUUGAA
rnacentral:rRNA from 1 species